rnacentral:rRNA from 1 species
CAGCAGCCGCGGGAAUACAGAGGGAGCGAGCGUUAAUCGGAUUUACUGGGCGUAAAGCGUGCGUAGGCGGCUUCUUAAGUCGGAUGUGAAAUCCCUGAGCUUAACUUAGGAAUUGCAUUCGAUACUGGGAAGCUAGAGUAUGGGAGAGGAUGGUAGAAUUCCAGGUGUAGCGGUGAAAUGCGUAGAGAUCUGGAGGAAUACCGAUGGCGAAGGCAGCCAUCUGGCCUAAUACUGACGCUGAGGUACGAAAGCAUGGGGAGCAAACAGGAUUAGAUACCCCCGUAGUCCCUGUCUCUUAUAC